UACGUAGGGUGCGAGCGUUGUCCGGAAUUAUUGGGCGUAAAGAGCUCGUAGGCGGUCUGUCGCGUCUGCUGUGAAAACUCAGGGCUUAACCCUGAGCUUGCAGUGGGUACGGGCAGACUAGAGUGCGGUAGGGGAGACUGGAAUUCCUGGUGUAGCGGUGAAAUGCGUAGAGAUCCGGAGGAACACCAAAGGCGAAGGCAGUGUCCUGGGGAGUACCUGACGCUCAGGUGCGAAAGCCAGGGGAGCGAACGGG
rnacentral:rRNA from 1 species